rnacentral:rRNA from 1 species
AUGGAAGUGAAAUUUAGGGCCAGUUUAAAGGACCCAUCUGUUAAAGUUCCUGUUAAAAUUGAUUUCAAGAAGAUUCAGGAGGAUAUUUUUCAAGAAUAUGCUUUGAUUGCCUGGUCCAUGCCAAAUGAUAUAAUCACCCAAGAUCCUACUCCUAAGUCACUACACGCGGUCUUCUAUGAGCUAUCUCCCCAGUUGCGGCCCAUCUUAGAGAAGGAUAGCGUCCGGUGCUUACUCAACUUUUUGGUGAGCAAGCGGGGUAUGACAUGGAAACAUACCAUCACCUCACAAACCUUAACUUACAUGAUCAGUCAUGAUGCCCUACGAUGUGCAAAAGUUAUAUUGGAGGGCAAGGCACCAAGGCUCAAUGGACACCAUGCCAAUCCCAACUGCAUUAACCCAUAUGGAUACUUCCCGCUCCAUGAAGCUGCCGAAAGGUUUUCUGUUGACAUGAUCAAGUUACUCUUUCGUCAUGGUGCAUCAGCCAAUGUACGCACAGUCGGGGAUAACAUCAUUGAGAACCUACUCCCACUCCAUGUUGUGGUCGAAAAUACUUGCCUGCAUAAGUAUUUGGAGGAUAAUUUAUUUCCAUACCAGAACCAUCGGGAUUAUAUCUACAAGAUUAUCCAUCUGCUAUGCAUGCCUGAAAUGAAAAUCUUUUUGGAUACGGUUAGACUGCUAGCAGAAAGAACAGAUAAUCUAGUUGAUGAGAUAUGA